UUUUAAUAUCCUAUAUUUAAUUAAGCAUAAUGUAAAUGCUAAAAAAAAGGGUUUAUAAGAUCAAACAUAUUUUUGGGAAUAAAAUUUCUGUCAUGCUGCUGUAUUUUAAUGUUGCCAUGGUAGUACUUUGAAAAUUCCGCUGUUUUUUGAGGUGGGUACGUGGUAUAAGAAGUUUUAGAACCACAGAAGAUGACUUCAUAGCAAAUAGCAGUCAUGUGUUGUGCACAAACACAUGUAGCCAAUAGAAGCACACUGCACA